UUUGAACCGUUUGAUGAAAAUUAACCGUAGUAUUUUAUUAAUCGUACAUGAGUUGGGUUGUGUGUUAAUUAACUGUUUUUUUUUAGUUUGAAUAAGAAUAACUUUAAGUGUGUGUUAUUUGUGACUAAUAAUUAAAUGCAUGAUAAAAUCGUGCAAGAGUAAUAUAUUAUAUAUUAAACUAUAUAUUUACUUUAUUAGGGUAUGUGUAGAAGUACUUUAUUAGAGGAAAAUAUUUUAGUAGAUAGUAGAAUAUGGUUAUAUAUUGAAGAUUUUUUAUAAAGUAUUGCAUGCGUUUUGAAAGUAGAAUGUAGUCGUAGUUAAAUUAGUAGUUAGAACGGAUGGGUAACGGUUUAUUGAAUUCAAUAUAGAUUUGUUAAAGGCGAGUUAAUUUUUCAGUUGGCCACAUACAGACAGACGGAGCUAAACUGUAGUUACUCGUUACCUCGGGCCUCCGUUACCUAAGGAGGGCUUAGGUCCUCCGCCGCGGCGUCACGCACCCGCAUCAUGAAGGUGAACGUGGUGGUGGCAAUGGCGGCAAUGGCGGCGUGUCAGUGCGACCGUCGUUCGCGUCGUUCGUGGCGCUGUGCGCGCUGCUGGUGCUCUCGGCGCGCUCCUAGCGCCCCCGUCGCACAAGCCCCCGUCCCCUACGCCCCCUGUGAUCGUGAUCCAGUGUGUCUGUGCCCAUGCCUGUUGCGUCAGCUGUAUUGUGUAUAGCGAACGUUUUGCUGUGAUUAUGAAUGCUUAACUUUUUUAUACUGUUGUGAGAACGAUAAUUUAAUGUGAAGUCAUAGUUUUUAUACUUAAUAUAAAUAGAUGAUAUAAGUUCGAGUGUGAUAUUGACGUAAGCGAACAUUUUUAUAUUAAAAUAU